rnacentral:rRNA from 1 species
UAGGGAAUCUUCCGCAAUGGACGCAAGUCUGACGGAGCAACGCCGCGUGAGUGAAGAAGGAUUUCGGUUCGUAAAACUCUGUUGUUAGAGAAGAACAGCGCAUAGAGUAACUGUUAUGCGUGUGACGGUAUCUAACCAGAAAGCCACGGCUAACUACGUGCCAGCAGCCGCGGUAAUACGUAGGUGGCAAGCGUUGUCCGGAUUUAUUGGGCGUAAAGCGAGCGCAGGCGGUCAAUUAAGUCUGAUGUGAAAGCCCCCGGCUCAACCGGGGAGGGUCAAUGGAAACUGGUUGGCUUGAGUGCAGAAGAGGAUAGUGGAAUUCCAUGUGUAGCGGUGAAAUGCGUAGAUAUAUGGAGGAACACCAGUGGCGAAGGCGACUCUCUGGUCUGUAACUGACGCUGAGGCUCGAAAGCGUGGGUAGCAAACAGG